UACGUAGGGUGCGAGCGUUGUCCGGAAUUACUGGGCGUAAAGCGUGCGCAGGCGGUUCGUUAAGUCAGAUGUGAAAGCCCCGGGCUCAACCUGGGAACUGCAUUUGAAACUGGCUAGCUGGAGUGUGGCAGAGGGGGGUGGAAUUCCGCGUGUAGCAGUGAAAUGCGUAGAGAUGCGGAGGAACACCGAUGGCGAAGGCAGCCCCCUGGGCCAACACUGACGCUCAGGCACGAAAGCGUGGGGAGCAAACAGG
rnacentral:rRNA from 1 species